rnacentral:rRNA from 1 species
ACAGGGAUUGCCCUAGUAACGGCGAGUGAAGCGGCAACAGCUCAAAUUUGAAAUCUGGCUCUUUUAGAGUCCGAGUUGUAAUUUGCAGAGGGCGCUUUGGCUUUGGCAGCGGUCCAAGUUCCUUGGAACAGGACGUCACAGAGGGUGAGAAUCCCGUACGUGGUCGCUGGCUAUUGCCGUGUAAAGCCCCUUCGACGAGUCGAGUUGUUUGGGAAUGCAGCUCUAAAUGGGAGGUACAUUUCUUCUAAAGCUAAAUAUUGGCCAGAGACCGAUAGCGCACAAGUAGAGUGAUCGAAAGAUGAAAAGCACUUUGGAAAGAGAGUCAAACAGCACGUGAAAUUGUUAAAAGGGAAGCGCUUGCAGCCAGACUUGCUUACAGUUGCUCAUCCGGGCUUUUGCCCGGUGCACUCUUCUGUAGGCAGGCCAGCAUCAGUUUGGGCGGUAGGAUAAAGGUCUCUGUCACGUACCUCCUUUCGGGGAGGCCUUAUAGGGGAGACGACAUACUACCAGCCUGGACUGAGGUCCGCGCAUCUGCUAGGAUGCUGGCGUAAUGGCUGUAAGCGGCCCGUCUUGAAACACGGACCAAGGAGUCUAACAUCUAUGCGAGUGUUUGGGUGUCAAGCCCGAACGCGUAAUGAAAGUGAACGGAGGUGGGAACCCGCAAGGGUGCACCAUCGACCGAUCCUGAUGUCUUCGGAAGGAUUUGAGUAAGAGCAUGGCUGUUGGGACCCGAAAGAUGGUGAACUAUGCUUGAAUAGGGUGAAGCCAGAGGAAACUCUGGUGGAGGCUCGCAGCGGUUCUGACGUGCAAAUCGAUCGUCAAAUUUGGGCAUAGGGGCGAAAGACUAAU